AUUAAGUUCAUUUUUACGUAAGUUGGUCAAUUGGCCAAUAGAGUGCUGACACGCAAGCGAGACUCUAUGUAUAUCAAUAUUCUAUUGAUCAAUUGACCAAUUUAUCAAAAAAUAAACUUCAU
rnacentral:pre_miRNA from 1 species